AAAUCCACGUGACUGAGAAAAUAAAGAAUAACCCCUCGCGUGCACCGGAGCUACUUCAUCUCAUCUCUGCGAUCUCUCUCAGAAAUCCAAGCUUCAUCUAUGUCCCCAGAUCAGAAUCUGGGCGUCCCAUCUCUGCCGACACCGAGAUGCAACAGCCAUCGGAGAGGAGAUAGAGAGACAGCGGUGCUUCGAAGGCGAAAAAGUGUCAGUUCAAAAGCCUAGGCCGAAGCUGACCUCACCUACGUCCUCCGCCACCAGCAGUCGAACAAGGCUCUCCAAAUGAUCAACAGGAUGACAGAUGAAGGUAGUGAAAAUCGUAUGACAGAUAGCACGAAUGAAAGCUAGCAGAUUUAAGGUCCUUGAGGGAGGCGCCGCCAAUUGCAGGUGGCUUGGGGUUCUAUUUUUCUUCUGUCGUGUUCUAAAUUAUGUUUCAUUGUGCUGAGCUGUGGAUGGCAAUUGAACUCAUGGAUAUAGGCAUCAAGGCAGAACGUUCUUUUAACCUGUUA